CCAGUUGGCCGGGCGGCCGCGCUUUGCCAAUGCCGAAAGGCGGCAGGGUGAGGAAAGUCCGGGCUCCACGGAUUGACGGUGCCGGAGAAAGUCCGGCGGGGGCGACCCCAGGGACAGUGCCACAGAAAGCAAACCGCCCCGGUUUUCCGGGGUAAGGGUGAAAGGGUGGGGUAAGAGCCCACCGCGCCUGCGGCAACGCAAGGCGGCACGGUAAACCCCACCGGGAGCAAGACCGAAUAGGGAUGACGCGGGGCUCGCCCCAGGCCGUUUCCGGGCCAGUCAUCCGGGUGGGUUGCGAGAGGCGGCGCGCAAGCGUCGUCCCAGAUGAAUGGCCGCCACGUUUCGCGGGAAACCGCGAGGCCAUACAGAACCCGGCUUACAGGCCAACUGGUUUU
rnacentral:RNase_P_RNA from 1 species